UCGUAGUUGAACGUUCGGGUUCCGCGGGACGGGGGCCGCCCCCGCGAGGGACGGGCGCCGCCCCGGGGCUCGUGAUAUCUCAUCUCGCCGCCCCGUCGCGAGGCGGACGGAGGGGAUGGAUGAGGUUACCUGGAAAAAAUCGGGGCGAUCUAGGCGGGGCGAACCUCGCCAACGAACGAUCGGACAUGGGGAUAACGGAAGAGGGCGUCGGUCUCGACUUCGUCGGUUCCUCGGGCCGAGGCACGUACGGUGAAUAGGGACGGUCGGGGCCGCCCGUACCGGGUCGUGAGAGGUGAAAUUCUAGGAUCGACCCGAGACGAACCGCCGCGAAAGCAUUCGGCAAGGACGCUUUCAUUAAUCAAGAACGAAAAGUCGGGGGGAUCGAAGACGAUCAGAUACCGUCGUAGUCCCGACCGUAAACGAUGCC
rnacentral:rRNA from 1 species